UAAGUUUAUGUUAAGAUUACCUCUAAGACCCUAACAAAUGGACGCUAAAAAACUUUAAAGAAAAUUUAUUACAUAACUCCAACUUUUAUAACUAAAAGAAUGUUAGUAACUAAAUUAAAAAUCUAAAGAGAUCAUCAUAUUUUUGUAUUCAUUGAUAUAAUUGUAUUUGUAUUUCAUAGUUCACACUUGUAUUUGUAUUUUAUAGUUCACACUUGUAUUUGCAUUUUAGAUUUCACACCAUCAUUUAUAUUUUAUACAAUUUACACUAGUAUUUUAAGGAAUUAUUUUAUAUUAUAUAUUAUUGACUACAUAUUGUAUUUAUAUUUUUAAGUUGAUCAUACAUUGUAUUUGUAUUUGUAAUUCCAUUUAUUCGUAUUUGAAUUUAUAGUUGACUGCAUCAUUUGUAUUUUUUAACAAGUAAAACUGGAUUUUUAUUUUUAUUUCUAUGAAUACUUGUGUUUAUCUUCAUACUUGUGUUUAUCUUCAUGGAUACGAAUUGUAUUAUAUCGAUACGAAGUGAACAAUACAAAUACAAAUGAUAAACUACAAAUAAAAAUAUUAUAUUUGUAUCAAAUGAUACAUGUUUAUAAAAUUUGAACCAUAAAUAAACAAAUAAUUAUAUACAAAUAUUAAUAAUAAAUUUGACAUACAAAUACUAAUAAUACAUUUGUAAUAAAUGAUAUAUUGCAAAUUUGUAUAUUUUAGACUCAAGCUAAAACAACUAAUACAUAUACUUCUUUGUAUACAAAUAUUGAUGAUAAAUUAUACAUAUUUAUAGUUAAAUUAUACAAAUACAAAUAAUAAAUUUAAAAUAUAUAUAGUCGAACACAAAUAACUAUAAAAUAUAAAAAUAUAUAAUUAUAAGAUACAACAAUAAAAAAAGAAUGAGGAAAAGAUACAAAAAGAAAACGAAAUGGGGAAAAAAAGUAACGGAAAAUGAAAAAAGAAGGAAAAAACGACCCAAAAAAAAAGAAGAAAAAAUGAAACAAUAAAGAAAAUAUGAAGAAAAAGUGCAAAGAAGAAAAAACAGUAAAAAAAUGAAGAAAAAACAACAACAAACCCAAUGUAUUCCCACAUAGUGGGUCUGAGGAGGGUAAAAUGUAUGCAGUCCAUACCACUACCUCCGGAGAAGUGGAAAGGUUGUUUCCGAUAGACCCCCGGUUCAAGACAAAGGAUAGUAAAUAAAUUCGUAAUAAAGCAUGAAACAAUAUGGAAUAGAAAAAAUAAGACUUCCACAAAGUAACACCCCUACACUAACGAACCAAAGGCACCCCCCACCCCCAUCCUCUCCUACUAGCAACUCCAACCUAUGGACCUAGCCCUAAGACUACCAGUCCGGCUACCCUAAAGCUCUCCUAACUACUGACUACAACCUACUCACAUGCACUAGCCGUCUAACCUAAUUCGUGUCCUUUAUACCUUCCUAUCUAGGGUCAUGUCCUUAGUAAGCUAUAACUGCUCAAUGUCACAUCUAAUCACCUCUCUCCAGUAUUUUUUCGAUCUACCCCUACCUCGCCUGAAAAUAUCUAAAGUUAGUCUCUCAAACCUACAAACUGUGGCAUCUGUGCCCCUCAUCAUCACAUGCCCGAACCAUCUCAACCAAACUUCCCGCAUCCUGUCCUCCACCGAAGCCACUCCCAACUUCUUUCAGAUAAUCUCAUUCCUAACCCUAUCACCCCUAGUAAGCCCACACAUCCAACGCAACAUCCGUAUUUCUGUCACCUUCAAUUUUUGAAUAUGGGAGUUCUUGACUAGCCAACACUUUACUCCAUACAGCAUGGCCGAACGGACUGUCACUCUGUAGAAUUUGCCUUUAAGAUUGGGCGGCACCUUCCUAUCACACAACACUCCCGAGGCGUGCCUCCACUUCAUCCAUCCGGACCCAAUACGGUGGAAGGCAUCCUCAUCAAUCUCUCCAUUCCCUUGAAUUAUGGACCCAAGAUACUUAAAACUAUCCCUCUUACAAACAACCUGGGAAUCCAACCUUACUACCACCUCAUUCUCCUGCCUCAAGUCAUUAAACUUGUACUCUAUGUACUCUGUCUUGCUCCUACUCAACUUGAACCCUUUAGACUCAAGGAUUUAUCUCCAAACCUCCAAUUUAUCAUUCACACCCCUACGUUUCUCAUCAAUUAAAAUUACAUCAUCUGCAAAAAGCAUACACCAAGGCACCUCUCAUUAAAUACGACGUGUUAACACAUUUAUCACCAACGCAAACAAAAAUGGGCUAAGAGUCGAUCCCAGAUGCAACCCUGUCAAGACAGGGAAAUGCUCUGAAUCUCCUCCCACCGUCCUCUCAUGAGUCUUUUCUCCAUCAUACAUGUCUUUAAUCUAUCUGAUGUAUGCCACCGGGACCUCACUCACCUCCAAGCGUUUCCAAAGAACCUCCCUAGGGACUUUGUCAGACACCUUCUCCAAGUCGAUGAACACCAUAUGUAAGUCCUUAUUUCUUUCCCCAUACUGCUCCACCAGUCUCCGCACCAGGUGAAUUGCCUCCAUCGUCGAGCGAACAAGCAUAAAUCCAAAUUGAUUUUUUGAAAUAGACACUAUUCUCCUCAACCUCAGCUCGACCACUCUCUCCCAGAUCUUUAUAGUGUGACUCAACAACUUAAUACCCCUAUAGUUGUUGCAACUCUAGAUGUUACCCUUGUUUUUAUAUAAAAGAAUCAUAGUACUCCAUCUCUAAGCUUCAGGCAUUUUUUGCAGACUUAAAAAUAUCGUUAAACAAUUUAUUCAACCACCUUAACCUAGCCCCACAAGAAAAUUUCCAAAAAUUUACUGGAAUCUCAUCCGGCCCCGUUUCCCUACCCUUUCGCAUCCUGUGAAUAGCCUCUCUGACCUCCUCCACCUUAAAGCGUCUAUAAUAACUGAAAUUACGACACUCCUCUAAGUGCUCCAGUUCCCCUAACAUAAUGUCUCUAUCCCCCUCAUCAUUCAAGAGACUAUGAAAAUACGACUGUCAUCUUCUUCUAAUAUGAACAUCCUCUACCAGUACUCUACCAUUCUCCCCCUUAAUACAAUUCACUUGAUCGAGGUCACGACCCUUCCUAUCCCUAGCCUUAGUAAGCCUAUACAACCUCGUUUCUCCGUCUCUCUCCUCUAACCCCCUAUAUAAGCUCGUAAAUAUUAUCGUCUUAGCAGUCGUAACUCCUAACUUAGCCUCCUUCUUAGAUAACCUGUACUCCUUCCUAUUUACCCAUUUUUUCUCUUCAUCUUUACUCUCAACCAACUUAGCAUACACCCUCUUCUUAGUCUCCACUUUCUUCUUAACUUCUUCAUUCCACCACCAGUCCCCUCGAUGUUGUCUAGACCAGCCCCUCGAGACACCUAACACCUCUAUAGCAGUUUUUUUUAAUUCACCUUUUGAUUCACCUAGAAACCCUAUCUUACAUACCAUCCACUUCCCCCACACUCUUACACCCCCAAUCCCUCCACCUUAUCCUCUAUCUCCAGUGCAGUCACCAAAGUCAACCCACCCCAUUUUAUUCUAGGUCAGCCUCCUCGCCCCUUCUCUUCUUAUCCUUCUUUAUACCCAGGUCCAUCACCAGAAGCCUGUGCUGGGUCGAAAGAUUCUCAUUCGAAAUGACUUUACAGUCCUUACACAGAGCUCUAUCACCCUUCCUAAGCAGCAAAAAGUCAAUCUGAGUCUUGGCUAUUGCGCUUCGAAAGGUAACCAGGUGAUCUGCCUUCUUCAGAAAGCUCGAGUUCACUACCACCAUCCCAAAGGCCCUUGCAAAAUCCAAUAGAGAAGCUCUCUCUUCAUUCCUCUCCCUAAAACUAAAACCUCCAUGCACAUCGCCAUAGCCUCCCGGUAACACUCCUAUAUGCCCAUUGAAAUCCCCUGCUACAAUAAUCUUCUCAGAGCUAGGCACGCCUCUCACCACCUCAUCCAAAGCCUCUCAAAACCGCUUCUUCUCCUUCUCAUCCAAGCUCACUUGCGGCGCAUAAACAUUACACACGUUCAGAGUAAACCCCCAAUGACCAAUUUAAAAAGAAAAGAUAAUAUAAAAAAGUAAAAAAAAAGGAAAAUUUUCAAAAAUAGCAACAAUUAGCACAAAAUUUACCUUCCAUAGCUACACUUUACAAUAUUACCAUUUAUAGCCGAUGUAUUCGAUUUACAUCCGUUGUAUUCGCUUUUACGCAAUAGCUUGUAUUCAUAUAAUAAAAAAUAAAUACAUUAAUCACAUUUUAUAUUUUAUAUUUUUUUAUUUUCAAAAAAUAUGACUACAUCGAAUACAAGCUAUGGAUGAUGACGAAAACUUCAUAACGUGCAUUGUAUUUGUAUUUAUCAUUAUUUUUUUAUUUUAUUCUUUUCUCUUUUUUGAUUUUUUUUACUUUUUGAUUUUUUCUAAUUUUUUUUUAUCCUUUCUCUCAUUUUUUGUAUUUUAUUUUUUGUUUUUCCUUGUUUUCUUCUUUUUUUAAAUUAAAAGUUUUGGGCCAUUGGGCACUUUUACUAACAAAUAAAAUUUACAAAACAAUAAAGGUCCAACAACCCUAAUCGGGUUAAAAACUCAACCAAUAAAACUAAAAACCUAUCUUCUAUAAAUUUGUCCGAAAAUAUCUAAAGAAAAAGAAAAAUAAUAAAAAGAGGAAAAGGAAAGUGAAUUGUCAAUUGUCAUCUUCAUCUUUGCUGUAAUCUUCCCUCCAAUUCUGAAAAUGGCGAUGUAAGUAGCUUUCUUAUUGUUAAUCAAGCUCAAAUCGAGAAAUGCAUGAUGAAUUUUGGGCAUUUUCAUCUAAGGUGUUAAAAAUCUCACCAACACCAUGAAAUUGUCCCAAUCGAAGACUUCAACUCAUAUAGCUUCCAAUCCGAACUUAUUACAACAAGAUAAGUUUUCUUACUUUUACCCCUAAUUUAUUUCUCAGUUAACAUCAAAUCUCAUCAAUUUCAUCUCUCCGACAGAUUGAGCUUAACUAAAAGUCGAUACCACUGCCUAAGAAGAAACCAUUUAAUGAUUAUUUGACCUUAAUCAGAAACUUGAGCUCCGUAGAUCUUAUUGAGGUAAUUUUGCUUUUAAUUGAAACUACCAUUGUAGUCUGUAGAUGAUAAUUGUUGUUGUUGAUUGUGUCUGAACACAUCUACAUCUUGUGCUAUGAAAUUUGUUAUUCGCAGAUCAUUAACUUUUUCUUGUACCUCGUAACAGAAGCGAACCCAGGAUUUGAAGUCUUUGGGUGCAUCGGUAUUGUCAAUGGCGCGCAUAAGCCUCAAAGCAAGACUCAAAAUGUGUUAAGCACUCGUAUCACUUAAUAUGCAACUUAGGUUCUAAUUUCUAAUAUAUACUGUCCUUGUCAUGAGGUUUUCUUAAAAGACGACUAUUUCACUUUAUCAAAAAAAUAAAAAUUCAUAUAUUUGUCAUAAUCUUGGACUAGACAUAUAUUUAUAUUUUUUUCUCUUUUUGCUUUUUUUUUGGUUAAAUUUCACGUUUUAUUUAUACUUUGUGCUUAAACACAAUAGACCGUGAAGUUUUUUUUACGCUUGUUGCUUUUGAUAAUACUGUGGAGCCCAAUAUUAUCUUAAGACAUUAGAAAAAUUUUCAGUGUCGAUUAAGAAAUAUUAUCAUAUUCAAUUGAUCGUCAAAGAUAUAAACAAUACUGAAAAAAUAAAUAUAUAGAACAAGUAUGAGUUCUAAGCUAAUAGCUUUACUUUCUUAUAAUAUGAGGUUUAUUUUUAAGAUGGUUAGAUAAUUAUUUGUAGUAGCUCAAUGGUCAAAAGGGAUUCACUUCAUGGGAUGGUUGCAGAUUCGAAUCCUCAUUCCAACAUUUUAAUGUUAUAAAUUUAGUAAUAGAAAAAAUAUUAUGCUACCAGGGAUUGGUCGCAUGGACGAAAGCAUUGGCUUUAACCAAUGCAUCAAUGGACGGAAGCAUUGGCUUCAACCAUCUCAUCAAGGUGCACUAGCAUUCAACUUAAUGUAGUAGUAAGCCUUUAAUCUGAAGAUUGAAAAUAAAAGAGAAAAUGUUGCGCGAUCCCGGGAUCGAUCCCUGGUCACGUGGAAGGAUAUGAUGUCUUCAGCCAGCGCGGGAAGGUGUACUAGCAUUCAUUUGGGGUGCAUUAUUAACUAUAUCUCAAUUUCUGAAAGUAUAUACACAUGUAUACAUAUAAUUUUUUUUGACGUUAACAGGUGCACGUGCACCCCCACUAAUAGCUGUGGGUCCGCAUCUGCAAUCACAGAUCUAAAGAUGUUUUGUCUGAGAAUAGAGCUCAGACCAAAGAGAUAUAUAAAUUGGCCAAAUGCUACAUCUAUUUGAUGCUUUAACACUAGUAUUAUAAUAAGAUUAAAGGGUUCAUUACGGAUUAAGUCUAAACAGUAGAAAUUAAUGCAUAUUAACUGGUGGUUGUUUUGUUGCAAAACAAUAGGAAUUGUUCUGAUGUUUCAUCCACCUCUUUUCCAUCCAUUUCAAUCUCAUUGUUCACACUCAUAAGAUUUAUAGGGCUUUAUUUUUUUGUAGAUCCUACGCAUUUGAUUGACACUCAUCAGUUAUUUUUUUCAACUUUUAUAAUCCAUUUUCCUUCAAAAACAAAAAAAGGCCCAAGGAAACCCCAAGCUCAUAAUGACAUUUAUUUACCCUGUGAUUAUAGUGACUUCUCCAGAAGCAGAGGCGAACCCAGGAUUUGAAAUUUAUGGGUUCACCGGUGUUGUCAAUGACGCGUAUAAUCCUCAAAGCAAGACUCAAAAUGUGUUAAGCGCUCGUCUCACUUAAUGUGCAACUUAGGUUCUAAUUUCUAAUACAUACUUGCCCUUGUCAGUUAAUGAGACUUUCUUAAGAGACGACUAUUUCACUUUAUCAAAAACAAAAAAAAUUUCAUAUAUUUGUCAUUCAUGCUUAUAUUAUUAGUCUUAGACUAGACAUAUAUUUAUAUUUUUUCUCUUUUAGCCUUUUUUGGUUAAAUCUCACGUUUUAUUUGUACUUGGUGCUUAAACACAAUAGACCGUGAAGAUUUUUUGUGCUUGUUGCUUUUGAUAAUACUGUGGAGCCCAAUAUUAUCUUAAGAUAUUAGAAAAACUUUCAGUGCCGAUUAAGAAAUAUUAUCAUAUUCAAUUAGUCGUCAAAGAUAUAAACAAUAUUGAAAAAAUAAAUAUAUAGAACAAGUAUGAGUUCUAAGAUAAUAAUUUUACUUUCUUAUAAUAUGAGGUUUAUUUUUAAGAUAGUUGGAUAAUCAUUUGUAGUAGCUCAAUGGUCAAAGGGAAUAAGCCUUUAAUUUGAAGAUUGAAAAUAAAAGAGAAAAUGUUGCACAAUUCAGGGAUCGAUCCCUGUUCGCGUGGAUGGAUGUAAUGUCUUCAGCCAGCGCGGAAAGAUGUACUAGCAUUCAUUUGGGGGUGCACUAUUAACUAUAUCUCAAUUUCUGAAGGUAUAUACACAUGUAUACGUAUAAUUUUUUUCGACGUUAAUGGGUGCACGUCCACCCCCACUAAUAGCUGUGGGUCCGCCUCUGCCUUGUAAGAGACUAAAAACCUUGAUUUGUGUACUGCAUGUUUGAUUGUUGGAUGUCGUAGCAUUGUUGUUGUUUAGACAGGACCAAAAUCCAUAUUUUGCAUCUUUCUAAUUCUUAAACUUGGAAGUUGUUCCUUGUCCAUAUUCAACAAGAUCUUUGCUUUAGUUGAUAAUUGUUGAUAAUUGAAAAAUAAUAAUUGUUAGUACCUGCAAAAGCAAAGACACAGUUAACUAAAAAAUCGGCAAGCUGAUUACCUUGUCUGUAAAUGUGUUGGACCACCACCUUUCUUCCCUUUAUUAGAUUUUGAAUCCUCCUUAUUUCAUUAGAAAUACCCCAUGGAAUCUCCCACUGAUUUGUAACAAAUUUAUGAACAGCCAAAGAAUCAGUUUCGAAGCAUAAAGACAUCAAAUUAUGCUUAAUACAAUAUUCCAAUCUCAAUCGUAAUGCCAAAGCUUCAGCCACUAAAUUGAUUUCAUUAGGAAUUCUUCUAAUUUUAGCAUGAAUUAACUCUCCACUGUGAUUCCUAACACAAAAAGCUUCUAAACUUGGGUCAGGAUUGCCCUUCACAUCAGCAUCGAAAUUACAUUUGUACUGAUUUAUAUUAGGAAAAUUCCACUUCACCACAACACUUCUCAGGGUAGGCCUAUAUUCUGAUAAAAAACUCACUAAAUCCAUCCAAGAAUCUG
rnacentral:lncRNA from 1 species